GCGAGAAAUCGUUUUUGCGAAUGGCGAAUUGACACAGGGCAUAACCAAACAACUUCCCUCAAUUUCAAGGGACACAAAGAGCAGGAGGGUUCAACCGGCCGCAGCAGGAUACCGCUAUUGGAAUGUGAAUAAAAAAAAAUCAUAAACAUCCAC